CCUACGGGUGCAGCAGUGGGGAAUAUUGCACAAUGGGCGCAAGCCUGAUGCAGCCAUGCCGCGUGUGUGAAGAAGGCCUUCGGGUUGUAAAGCACUUUCAGCGGGGAGGAAGGCGUUAAGGUUAAUAACCUUGGCGAUUGACGUUACCCGCAGAAGAAGCACCGGCUAACUCCGUGCCAGCAGCCGCGGUAAUACGGAGGGUGCAAGCGUUAAUCGGAAUUACUGGGCGUAAAGCGCACGCAGGCGGUCUGUCAAGUCGGAUGUGAAAUCCCCGGGCUCAACCUGGGAACUGCAUUCGAAACUGGCAGGCUAGAGUCUUGUAGAGGGGGGUAGAAUUCCAGGUGUAGCGGUGAAAUGCGCAGAGAUCUGGAGGAAUACCGGUGGCGAAGGCGGCCCCCUGGACAAAGACUGACGCUCAGGUGCGGAAGCGUGGGGAGCAAACAGGAUUAGAUACCCGAGUAGUC
rnacentral:rRNA from 1 species